rnacentral:rRNA from 1 species
UGGGGAAUUCUGGACAAUGGGCGAAAGCCUGAUCCAGCCAUGCCGCGUGCAGGAUGAAGGCCUUCGGGUUGUAAACUGCUUUUGUACGGAACGAAAAGACUCUGGUUAAUACCUGGGGGUCCAUGACGGUACCGUAAGAAUAAGCACCGGCUAACUACGUGCCAGCAGCCGCGGUAAUACGUAGGGUGCAAGCGUUAAUCGGAAUUACUGGGCGUAAAGCGUGCGCAGGCGGUUAUAUAAGACAGAUGUGAAAUCCCCGGGCUCAACCUGGGAACUGCAUUUUGUGACUGUAUAGCUAGAGUACGGCAGAGGGGGAUGGAAUUCCGCGUGUAGCAGUGAAAUGCGUAGAUAUGCGGAGGAACACCGAUGGCGAAGGCAAUCCCCUGGGCCUGUACUGACGCUCAUGCACGAAAGCGUGGGGAGCAAACAGGAUUAGAUACCCUGG